rnacentral:rRNA from 1 species
UACGGAGGGGGCUAGCGUUGUUCGGAAUUACUGGGCGUAAAGCGCGCGUAGGCGGACCUGCAAGUCGGGGGUGAAAGCCCGAGGCUCAACCUCGGAACUGCCUUCGAUACUGCGGGUCUCGAGUCCGGGAGAGGUGAGUGGAAUUCCUAGUGUAGAGGUGAAAUUCGUAGAUAUUAGGAAGAACACCAGUGGCGAAGGCGGCUCACUGGCCCGGUACUGACGCUGAGGUGCGAAAGCGUGGGUAGUAGACAGG